UCCUGACCCUGGGCAAGGUGUUCUGCGCGCUGGUGACGGGCAACGCGCUGUUCCCGUCGUUCGCGCCGGCGGGCUAGGGG
rnacentral:tRNA from 2 species